rnacentral:rRNA from 1 species
GACGAACGCUGGCGGCGUGCCUAAUACAUGCAAGUAGAACGCACAGUUUAUACCGUAGCUUGCUACACCAUACACUGUGAGUUGCGAACGGGUGAGUAACGCGUAGGUAACCUGCCUGGUAGCGGGGGAUAACUAUUGGAAACGAUAGCUAGUACCGCAUAAUAUUGAUUAUUGCAUGAUAAUUGAUUGAAAGAUGCUAUUGCAUCACUACCAGAUGGACCUGCGUUGUAUUAGCUAGUAGGUGAGGUAACGGCUCACCUAGGCGACGAUACAUAGCCGACCUGAGAGGGUGAUCGGCCACACUGGGACUGAGACACGGCCCAGACUCCUACGGGAGGCAGCAGUAGGGAAUCUUCGGCAAUGGACGAAAGUCUGACCGAGCAACGCCGCGUGAGUGAAGAAGGUUGUCGGAUCGUAAAGCUCUGUUGUAAGAGAAGAACGGGUGUGAGAGUGGAAAGUUCACACUGUGACGGUAUCUUACCAGAAAGGGACGGCUAACUACGUG